rnacentral:rRNA from 1 species
AGUGAACGGCAAAACAAGUGUGCUGGUACUUCGCCCUUAUUCCCUUUUUUGCGGCAUUUUGCCUUCCUGUUUUUGCUCACCCAGAAACGCUGGUGAAAGUAAAAGAUGCUGAAGAUCAGUUGGGUGCACGAGUGGGUUACAUCGAACUGGAUCUCAACAGCGGUAAGAUCCUUGAGAGUUUUCGCCCCGAAGAACGUUUUCCAAUGAUGAGCACUUUUAAAGUUCUGCUAUGUGGCGCGGUAUUAUCCCGUAUUGACGCCGGGCAAGAGCAACUCGGUCGCCGCAUACACUAUUCUCAGAAUGGACUUUGGUUUG